UACAGAGGUCUCAAGCGUUGUUCGGAUUCAUUGGGCGUAAAGGGUGUCGUAGGUGGCGCGCUAAGUCGGGUGUGAAAUUCGAGGCUUAACUCCGAAACUGCAUUCGAUACUGGCCGUGCUUGAGGACUGGAGAGGAGACUGGAAUCAUGGUGUAGCAGUGAAAUGCGUAGAGAUCAUGAGGAAGACCAGUGGCGAAGGCGGGUCUCUGGACAGUUCCUGACACUGAGACACGAAGGCCAGGGGAGCAAACGGG
rnacentral:rRNA from 1 species